rnacentral:misc_RNA from 1 species
GAGAAAAGAUCUGCUGUACUCAGGUUAACAUUUUCACUGUGUUCGAUUUUUAUAAUCAGAGGGUUUCUACAUGCUGCAUGGCGCAUGCCACUCAAUUCUUUUUCUUUGUUGGUUCUGCGGAAACUUUAACAUUUCUGAUUCUCAAUAUUGCUUUAACUGCAGGCAGGUGCAAUUUACAGUUCACAUAUGACUAAACUUAUUCUGUAUUUGCUAUGUGCUAUCUGUGAAAUUCAUUGCCUUUUUUUCUGCAUUUUACUGGUACAUGGAUUGUUUAGAUCAUGUUCUUCUACAUAUUUGCUGAAUUGUGAGUUUCACGUCAAAUUUGUAGAAUUUAACGUUGAUUC